rnacentral:rRNA from 1 species
GAUGAACGCUGGCGGCGUGCCUAAUACAUGCAAGUCGAGCGAACAGACGAGGAGCUUGCUCCUCUGACGUUAGCGGCGGACGGGUGAGUAACACGUGGAUAACCUACAUAUAAGACUGGGAUAACUUCGGGAAACCGGAGCUAAUACCGGAUAAUAUAUUGAACCGCAUGGUUCAAUAGUGAAAGACGGUUUUGCUGUAACUAAUAGAUGGAUCCGCGCUGGAUUAGCUAGUUGGUAAGGUAACGGCUUACCAAGGCAACGAUGCGUAGCCGACCUGAGAGGGUGAUCGGCCACACUGGAACUGAGACACGGUCCAGACUCCUACGGGAGGCAGCAGUAGGGAAUCUGCCGCAAUGGGCGAAAGCCUGACGGAGCAACGCCGCGUGGGUGAUGAAGGUCUUCGGAUCGUAAAGCUCUUUUAUUGGGGAAGAACAAAUGUAUAGUUAAAUAUGCACGUCUUGACGGUACCUAAUCAGAAAGCAACGGCUAACUACGUG